rnacentral:tRNA from 1 species
GCCUCGGUAGCUCAGAUGGUAGAGCAGCGGACUGAAAAUCCGCGUGUCGGCGGUUCGAUUCCGCCCUGAGGCA